UGUUAACGAUUAUGGGCCUCAGGUAAAGAGAAAUUCAAAAGACACCCUAAUCCUAAAGGCUCGAGGAGAUGGCUAUCGACUCUCUUCUUCGAUGGCCGCGCGGUGACGAUUGACUUUCCCCAUGCUAUCUGAAACUGUCAGAUUAAUGUAUUUGUGAUUAAUCUCAUUCAUUCAGACGGCCAUUAUGAUGGCUUGAAUGCGUUGUUAGAUCUGCGAGGCGGUGUGUGUACUGUAUAAAUAGAUGUACAUCUGCAAUAUUUUAAAUAAGAACUCUGAUGUCUACGGAGGAUGUGGCGUGUUUCGUCAUGUAAAAAAGAGAGAUGGCCAAUACCGGAAUCAUUCUGAGGCCACACCAACAAUGUUGAGAUGCCUUACGUACAAUCUAUUCUACCACAAAUACUAAGCUUUUCUGUAAGUGUAAAAUUUGAACUCAGUUUCCAUGUUCAAAAUUAGCUAAAAAUAAUUCAUGGAUCUACAAAACCUAGAACCUUGAAGGUUGGAUAGUAGGUUCUUUGUUAACUCUUUUUAUCUCUGAUAAAGUUGUCGCAGACGCCGCCAAACAUUUGGUGUCCGUCAGUGAUAAUGUUGUUAUAGUUGUUUUUUGAACUCAUGUCUAAUGAGUUUUACAGUUCAACUAUACGGUGCUCUUUUCUUAUAUGAGUUUCAGGGAAAAUGAGAACGUCAACUUAUUGUGGAUAUGUGAGUGUGUUUCACAUAUCCAGAAGCCAAGGAUUCACAACAGCGUUGUCUAUAUAUUCUGAGCCUGAAGAACAUUGAAAAACAUAAAAGAAGGGUGCAAUGUCUGAAAAAUCUAGAUGGAUUAAGAACUCAUUUGGUUACUGUUGGUCUUCUUCCCUGUCCUUUCUAACCAGGGAAAUUUGUUGUAUAAUUUGCGGUUUCACAUUCGUUGUUAAGAUAAGUGAGUGCGUGUAUGAAGAAUUUCCAAUAAGAAUAUCUCCCAUUUGUUAAUCCA